AGUGAACGCUGGCGGUAGGCCUAACACAUGCAAGUCGAACGGCAGCACAGUAAGAGCUUGCUCUUACGGGUGGCGAGUGGCGGACGGGUGAGGAAUACAUCGGAAUCUACUUUUUCGUGGGGGAUAACGUAGGGAAACUUACGCUAAUACCGCAUACGACCUACGGGUGAAAGCAGGGGAUCUUCGGACCUUGCGCGAUUGAAUGAGCCGAUGUCGGAUUAGCUAGUUGGCGGGGUAAAGGCCCACCAAGGCGACGAUCCGUAGCUGGUCUGAGAGGAUGAUCAGCCACACUGGAACUGAGACACGGUCCAGACUCCUACGGGAGGCAGCAGUGGGGAAUAUUGGACAAUGGGCGCAAGCCUGAUCCAGCCAUACCGCGCGGGUGAAGAAGGCCUUCGGGUUGUAAAGCCCUUUUGUUGGGAAAGAAAAGCAGCAGGUUAAUACCCCGCUGUCCUGACGGUACCCAAAGAAUAAGCACCGGCUAACUUCGUG
rnacentral:rRNA from 1 species